UUAUCGCACAACAUGGAAUGGAGGAAACGGGUUUUCCAGCAAAAUUCAUGGGUUCAAAUACACGUAUGAGCUAAAGUUCGGGCCACGUGGCGCCGUCCACUGACUAAACACACCCAUCACCACCACGUACGGUGCCUUAUUUGAAUGAACUUCUUGCCUAGCACGUACGUACUGGCAGUUGGUGAGUGGUCGCUUUGCUGGC
rnacentral:lncRNA from 1 species